CGCUUUGUGGUUCAACUGAUUUGAAGAGCUUGCUCAGAUAUGACGAUGGACAUUGCAAAGAGUGGCGAACGGGUGAGUAACACGUGGGAAACCUACCUCUUAGCAGGGGAUAACAUUUGGAAACAGAUGCUAAUACCGUAUAACAAUGACAACCGCAUGGUUGUUAUUUAAAAGAUGGUUCUGCUAUCACUAAGAGAUGGUCCCGCGGUGCAUUAGCUAGUUGGUAAGGUAAUGGCUUACCAAGGCGAUGAUGCAUAGCCGAGUUGAGAGACUGAUCGGCCACAAUGGGACUGAGACACGGCCCAUACUCCUACGGGAGGCAGCAGUAGGGAAUCUUCCACAAUGGGCGAAAGCCUGAUGGAGCAACGCCGCGUGUGUGAUGAAGGGUUUCGGCUCGUAAAACACUGUUGUAAGAGAAGAAUGACAUUGAGAGUAACUGUUCAAUGUGUGACGGUAUCUUACCAGAAAGGAACGGCUAAAUACGUGCCAGCAGCCGCGGUAAUACGUAUGUUCCAAGCGUUAUCCGGAUUUAUUGGGCGUAAAGCGAGCGCAGACGGUUAUUUAAGUCUGAAGUGAAAGCCCUCAGCUCAACUGAGGAAUUGCUUUGGAAACUGGAUGACUUGAGUGCAGUAGAGGAAAGUGGAACUCCAUGUGUAGCGGUGAAAUGCGUAGAUAUAUGGAAGAACACCAGUGGCGAAGGCGGCUUUCUGGACUGUAACUGACGUUGAGGCUCGAAAGUGUGGGUAGCAAACAGGAUUAGAUACCCUGGUAGUCCACACCGUAAACGAUGAGUGCUAGGUGUUUGAGGGUUUCCGCCCUUAAGUGCCGCAGCUAACGCAUUAAGCACUCCGCCUGGGGAGUACGACCGCAAGGUUGAAACUCAAAGGAAUUGACGGGGACCCGCACAAGCGGUGGAGCAUGUGGUUUAAUUCGAAGCAACGCGAAGAACCUUACCAGGUCUUGACAUCCCUUGACAACUCCAGAGAUGGAGCGUUCCCUUCGGGGACAAGGUGACAGGUGGUGCAUGGUUGUCGUCAGCUCGUGUCGUGAGAUGUUGGGUUAAGUCCCGCAACGAGCGCAACCCUUAUUACUAGUUGCCAGCAUUCAGUUGGGCACUCUAGUGAGACUGCCGGUGACAAACCGGAGGAAGGUGGGGAUGACGUCAAAUCAUCAUGCCCCUUAUGACCUGGGCUACACACGUGCUACAAUGGCGUAUACAACGAGUUGCCAACCCGCGAGGGUGAGCUAAUCUCUUAAAGUACGUCUCAGUUCGGAUUGUAGGCUGCAACUCGCCUACAUGAAGUCGGAAUCGCUAGUAAUCGCGGAUCAGCACGCCGCGGUGAAUACGUUCCCGGGUCUUGUACACACCGCCCGUCACACCAUGAGAG
rnacentral:rRNA from 1 species